CAGUAGCCACGGUAAUACGUAGGGCGCAAGCGUUGUCCGGAAUUAUUGGGCGUAAAGAGCUCGUAGGCGGUCUGUCGCGUCUGGUGUGAAAUCCCGAGGCUCAACCUCGGGCUUGCAUCGGGUACGGGCAGACUAGAGUGCGGUAAGGGAGACUGGAAUUCCUGGUGUAGCGGUGGAAUGCGCAGAUAUCAGGAGGAACACCGAUGGCGAAGGCAGGUCUCUGGGCCGCAACUGACGCUGAGGAGCGAAAGCAUGGGGAGCGAACAGGAUUAGAUACCCCCGUAGUCCCUGUCUUUUAUAU
rnacentral:rRNA from 1 species